rnacentral:rRNA from 1 species
GACGAACGCUGGCGGCGUGCUUAACACAUGCAAGUCGAACGGAAAGGCUCCAGCUUGCUGGAGUACUCGAGUGGCGAACCGGUGAGUAACACGUGGGUAAUCUGCCCUGCACUCUGGGAUAAGCCUGGGAAACUGGGUCUAAUACUGGAUAUGACCUUUCUCCUUAUGGGGUUUGGUGGAAAGUUUUUCGGUGUAGGAUGAGCCCGCGGCCUAUCAGCUUGUUGGUGGGGUGAUGGCCUACCAAGGCGACGACGGGUAGCCGGCCUGAGAGGGUGAUCGGCCACAUUGGGACUGAGAUACGGCCCAGACUCCUACGGGAGGCAGCAGUGGGGAAUAUUGCACAAUGGGCGGAAGCCUGAUGCAGCGACGCCGCGUGAGGGAUGACGGCCUUCGGGUUGUAAACCUCUUUCAGCAGGGACGAAGCGUAAGUGACGGUACCUGCAGAAGAAGCACCGGCUAACUAUGUG